UACAGAGGGGGCAAGCGUUAUUCGGAAUUAUUGGGCGUAAAGGGCGCGUAGGCGGCCUUCUAAGUCGAACGUGAAAUCCCCGGGCUCAACCCGGGAACUGCGUCCGAUACUGGAAGGCUUGAAUCCGGGAGAGGGAUGCGGAAUUCCAGGUGUAGCGGUGAAAUGCGUAGAUAUCUGGAGGAACACCGGUGGCGAAGGCGGCAUCCUGGACCGGCAUUGACGCUGAGGCGCGAAAGCCAGGGGAGCAAACGGG
rnacentral:rRNA from 1 species